UCGAGCGGAUGAGAAGAGCUUGCUCUUCGAUUCAGCGGCGGGCGGGUGAGUAAUACCUAGGAAUCUGCCUGGUAGUGGGGGACAACGUUUCGAAAGGAACGCUAAUACCGCAUACGUCCUACGGGAGAAAGCAGGGGACCUUCGGGCCUUGCGCUAUCAGAUGAGCCUAGGUCGGAUUAGCUAGUUGGUGAGGUAAUGGCUCACCAAGGCUACGAUCCGUAACUGGUCUGAGAGGAUGAUCAGUCACACUGGAACUGAGACACGGUCCAGACUCCUACGGGAGGCAGCAGUGGGGAAUAUUGGACAAUGGGCGAAAGCCUGAUCCAGCCAUGCCGCGUGUGUGAAGAAGGUCUUCGGAUUGUAAAGCACUUUAAGUUGGGAGGAAGGGCAGUAAGCGAAUACCUUGCUGUUUUGACGUUACCGACAGAAUAAGCACCGGCUAACCCUGUGCCAGCAGCCGCGGUAAUACAGAGGGUGCAAGCGUUAAUCGGAAUUACUGGGCGUAAAGCGCGCGUAGGUGGUUCGUUAAGUUGGAUGUGAAAUCCCCGGGCUCAACCUGGGAACUGCAUCCAAAACUGGCGAGCUAGAGUAGGGCAGAGGGUGGUGGAAUUUCCUGUGUAGCGGUGAAAUGCGUAGAUAUAGGAAGGAACACCAGUGGCGAAGGCGACCACCUGGGCUCAUACUGACACUGAGGUGCGAAAGCGUAGGGAGCAAACAGGAUUAGAUGCCCUGGUAGUCCACGCCGUAAACGAUGUCAACUAGCCGUUGGAAUCCUUGAGAUUUUAGUGGCGCAGCUAACGCAUUAAGUUGACCGCCUGGGGAGUACGGCCGCAAGGUUAAAACUCAAAUGAAUUGACGGGGGCCCGCACAAGCGGUGGAGCAUGUGGUUUAAUUCGAAGCAACGCGAAGAACCUUACCAGGCCUUGACAUCCAAUGAACUUUCCAGAGAUGGNUUGGUGCCUUCGGG
rnacentral:rRNA from 1 species